UUUGUUUGGUUGUUGUUGUUGUUUUUGCAUUUAUAUACCACCCCAGUAGCCCAGAGGGCUUUCUGGGUGGUUUAUUAUAAUGAUAAGGAAUGAGACAUUAUCCCAUAGAGAGAAGUGGCUGCUUUGCUCUUUUUUGCUGCAAAUUCUCACUCUUUCUUCACCAUCUCCAAAAUGUAGACAGAAUCAAGGACCUGUUUUCUCCCUUGGGCAGGGGCUCGAAGGAUUCUUACAGAUUUCAAGGAUGUUAGGCAGACCUCUUUAUUUUAGGUAUUAUAUAUCCCACUUUUUUCUUGCAAAAGGAAAUGCAAAUUCUUGCAAAUUUCCCUCUUCUUCCUGUCACAACCUCUCACUGGGAUCAGGCUGGAAAUUACGGAUCAGGCACCGGCCCAAAAACAUGAGCUUUGCAUGGCCAGAGGUAGAAG